rnacentral:rRNA from 1 species
UCAGGGUAACGGAGGUGUCCGAGCAACCAGUCCGGGGAAACUCAGCCCCGCCCCGCGAACCGCUCCGGCGGGUCGGGCGCCGCGGCGCCGCGGGGGGCUCUCGCGGGCCCCUCGCGGCGAUUCAGCGGGUCAAGCCCGGCCGUCUUGCCGUGCGCGCGCGGGCCUAAAACCCGCGCGUGAGUCGUUCGCCCGGGCGGGGUGCACUUUUCCUUCGACAUAGUGCGUCGCGAUCCGUUGGUCGGCGGCCUUAGGGCCCGGUCGUCUCCUCGCCCGCCCGCGACGUCCCGUGGGGCGGUAAACGGUCGGGCGAGAGCGACCGGUGUGCGCGUUCAAUGAGCUGGCAGCUGUGAGGCGCCGGCGCGCGCGUCCCGGCCCGCCGUGUAAGACCGGUUCCGUAGGGGUUCCGGCAAUAACGACGGUCAUAGAAUUCGCGGAAGACGAACUGACCGUCCGGCCCCCUUCACGGGGGGGCGGGCGGCGGGUCCCUCCGGAUCUGAGCGUUGCUCAUCAUCGAAACCUGGCCGCGGAGGCGACGAUCCGGUAGGCGCCGCCCUAGCCGGCGACGCUCCGGGGAACGUCCCUCCGACCUGAACAGGCGUGGAUGGAGAGCGGAAGCUCACCGCCGCCACGGCCGGGGAGGUGACAGGAGGGGGGGUGUAGUAUCCCACGAGAGAUCCAGCGGGUCCAACCGGCGGCGUAAGUCUCGGACUAACUUUCCGACCCGUCUUGAAACACGGACCAAGGAGUCUAACAUGUGCGCGAGUCAAUGGGACGUCCUAAUCCCAGAGGCGCAAUGAAAGUAAAAGGCGGCGGCGCUUCGGGGGGGCACACCCCCUCCGACGCCGUUCCAACCGCCGAGGGAAGAUGGCCCGGGGGGCGCGCGAGGCYACGCGGCUACGGCCGCCCGCCCGCGCGUCGACUCUGUGUGACCCGGCCCGCAUUCCCGGGCGCGG